AACUGAUACUACCUGCGGGAACCUGCGGAAGGAUCAUUACUGAAGUGAUUUGGGGGUGUUGCUGGCCCUCUCUCAAGGGGGGGCACUGUGCACUCCUCGAAACAAUUCACAAUUUCCAUCACACCCCUUGUGCACACCUUGUAGGCACCCAAACCCACCUCCGGGUGGUGGGGUCCUAUGUAUUCCUUCAUCUCACACUCUGUUGAAUGGUGCCAUGGGACGCAUCUAAAGGAUUAUUUG
rnacentral:misc_RNA from 1 species